AAGCUUACACAUCAAAUCAAAGUCCUUUAUUCUUUAUUUUAUCUUCAAACUUAGAGUUUGGGUGAAAAUUGUCAAGUCUCCUGAUCGAAAAAUCUAAAUAUUUACGAGGAAACUAAAAAUGAUGGGCUGAAUUUAAAUUUAAUAAAGCAUCUCAUUAAGACAAACACUCGAUAUGAAUAUCUCGGCAAUAGAAUGUUGGAUACGCAAACGUCAAGUUAUUUUCAAAACGAAGCGGUGGUUUUUAUGCCGAUUUGUGCAAGUGGUUAUCUCCCCUUAAUAUCACCAGUCAAAAAUAAAAACCCAGC
rnacentral:lncRNA from 1 species